AUUUAUUUAUUUAAUUUCAUUUCUGUGAUUAUAUGCUUGUAAUAACGGCAGGAAGUAAAACCAUGUGGUUAUUUGUUUAUUUAUGUUUUACUAAAAUAUGUUUUAUUUUACUAGUAAGGAUUUCAUGUUUACUUUGGUUCAUUACUUUGUAAUAAACCUCUAAUUCUUCAAAUACUUUAUUUUUAUUUAUAGUCAAGUGGAAGCCGAACCAUCAAGCUCAGAUGGAGCUGAACCUCCCCCCACCUCUCAUGAUUCUUCAUCUUCUUUGAGUGGAGAUCGUGCAGGAGAGGCUGAUGAAGACUAUGUUCCACCAGUUCCUUUGAGGUCUUCAGGGCGUGGAAGAGCUCCAGCCCCAAAAAGAACAACAACCACACACAAAAAGGCAAGGAAACAACAGAAAGUCAGCUCCUCAGCGCACCAACAACAAGACGAGGAUUGUUGGCACACUAGAGAGGAACUUGAUACGGAGCCCGGAUGUCCAUUAUUUACUCCAAAGAAAGACCCAGGACCUCAGACUGACUCUACAAAAAGUUGGUCACCCCUGAGUCUGUUCAAGCUUUUCUUUAGUGCCUACACCAUUCGGGAAAUAAUCAAAAACACAAAUGAAAAUGCACAGCGUUUACUUGCAGCUGGAAAAAAAUUCAAAUGGUCACCUUUGACAGUGGACGAUUUUUACAAAUUUUUAGCCAUAAUUAUAUUCAGCGGACUGGUACAAGUACCUUCAAAGCCAGACUUCUGGCGAACAAAAUGGUCAUAUAAUUUUCCAUUUCCACGUAGCUGCAUGACCCGUGACAGAUUUGAGUCCAUCCUUUGGUCCCUUCACCUGUCCAACAUCAAAAAAGAUGAAGAAAAUGA